GAUGAACGCUGGCGGCGUGCCUAAUACAUGCAAGUCGAGCGAAUGGAUUAAGAGCUUGCUCUUAUGAAGUUAGCGGCGGACGGGUGAGUAACACGUGGGUAACCUGCCCAUAAGACUGGGAUAACUCCGGGAAACCGGGGCUAAUACCGGAUAACAUUUUGAACCGCAUGGGUCGAAAUUGAAAGGCGGCUUCGGCUGUCACUUAUGGAUGGAACCGCGUCGCAUUAGCUAGUUGGUGAGGUAACGGCUCACCAAGGCAACGAUGCGUAGCCGACCUGAGAGGGUGAUCGGCCACGCUGGGACUGAGACACGGCCCAGACUCCUACGGGAGGCAGCAGUAGGGAAUCUUCCGCAAUGGACGAAAGUCUGACGGAGCAACGCCGCGUGAGUGAUGAAGGCUUUCGGGUCGUAAAACUCUGUUGUUAGGGAAGAACAAGUGCUAGUUGAAUAAGCUGGCACCUUGACGGUACCUAACCAGAAAGCCACGGCUAACUACGUGCCAGCCGCCGCCGUAA
rnacentral:rRNA from 1 species